CUGAGCUCCCCAUGCGGCCGCCAGCACACAGGUAAAAUUCUGUGUGUCAGUGUGAGUGUAUGUGUGUGUGUGUGUCAUGGUGUGUGUGUGUGUCUCUGUCAUUUUGUGUGUGUCUGUCUGUGUCAUGGUGUGUGUGUGUCUCUGUGUCAUUGUGUGUGUGUGUCUGUCUGUGUCAUUGUGUGUGUCUGUCUGUGUCAUUGUGUGUGUCUCUGUCUG